UACGAAGGGGGCUAGCGUUGCUCGGAAUCACUGGGCGUAAAGGAUGCGUAGGCGGGUUUUUAAGUCAGGGGUGAAAUCCUGGAGCUCAACUCCAGAACUGCCUUUGAUACUGAAGAUCUUGAGUCCGGGAGAGGUGAGUGGAACUGCGAGUGUAGAGGUGAAAUUCGUAGAUAUUCGCAAAAACACCAGUGGCGAAGGCGGCUCACUGGCCCGGUACUGACGCUGAGGCACGAAAGCGUGGGGAGCAAACAGG
rnacentral:rRNA from 1 species